rnacentral:rRNA from 1 species
GACGUAGGGCGCGAGCGUUGUCCGGAUUUAUUGGGCGUAAAGGGUGCGUAGGCGGUCGGGUAAGUCGGAUGUGAAAUCCCAGGGCUCAACCUGGGAAUGGCAGUGGAUACUGGCAAGCUAGAGUGCGGUAGAGGGAUGUGGAAUUCCCGGUGUAGCGGUGAAAUGCGUAGAGAUCGGGAGGAACACCAGUGGCGAAGGCGGCUACCUGGACCGGUUCUGACGCUGAGGCGCGAAAGCGUGGGAUAGCAAACAGG